rnacentral:rRNA from 1 species
AGUGAACGCUGGCGGCGUGCUUAACACAUGCGAGUCGAACGAGAACGGAAUAUAGCUUGCUAUAUUUGUCAGCUAAGUGGCGCACGGGUGAGUAAUGUAUAGAUAACCUGCCCUUAAGAAAGGAAUAACAGUUGGAAACGACUGCUAAUGCCCUAUAUGCCUUUAAUACAUAAGUAUGCAAGGGAAACGCUUUAGUGCUUAAGGAUGGGUCUGUAUGGUAUCAGCUUGUUGGUGAGGUAAUGGCUCACCAAGGCUAUGACGCCUAACUGGUUUGAGAGGAUGAUCAGUCACACUGGAACUGAGACACGGUCCAGACUCCUACGGGAGGCAGCAGUGGGGAAUAUUGCACAAUGGACGAAAGUCUGAUGCAGCAACGCCGCGUGGAGGAUGACACAUUUCGGUGCGUAAGCUCCUUUUAUAUAGGAAGAUAAUGACGGUACUAUAUGAAUAAGCACCGGCUAACUCCGUGCCAGCAGCCGCAGUAACAC